CGUUGAAACACCGGUACACGUACGAUCACCGAAGUUAAGCAACAGCGAACCUGGUAAGUUCCUCGAUGGGUGAUCGCUCGGGAAUAGCAGGCGCUGCAAG